UGAAUAGAUGAUGAAAACUGGUGAUGUAUGAGUUAGAGAUGAUGAAAACUCUUCUCUGGAGCUGUGAGAUCCGG